AGCGAACGCUGGCGGCAGGCCUAACACAUGCAAGUCGAACGAACCUUUCGGGGUUAGUGGCGGACGGGUGAGUAACACGUGGGAACGUGCCUUUAGGUUCGGAAUAACUCAGGGAAACUUGUGCUAAUACCGAAUGUGCCCUUCGGGGGAAAGAUUUAUCGCCUUUAGAGCGGCCCGCGUCUGAUUAGCUAGUUGGUUGAGGUAAUGGCUCACCAAGGCGACGAUCAGUAGCUGGUCUGAGAGGAUGAUCAGCCACAUUGGGACUGAGACACGGCCCAAACUCCUCGGGGGGGCGGAGGGGGGGAAUCUGGCAAAAGGGGAAAAAGCGGGACGGCCCCAGGCCGGGGAAAGAAUGAGGGUGUUAGGUUGGAAAAUUUUUUUCCCGGGGGAAGAUAAUGAGGGAACCGGGAAAAGAAGCCCCGGCUACCUUCGUG
rnacentral:rRNA from 1 species